UGAGUUCAAGGCUCUUUACCAUGGUUCACAAUUAGCAUGUCCUAUCAUAGGCAUCACCCAUAUCGUUAGGCUAGUUAGCAACUAAUAUGCCCUCCCAAACAUAACACACAUGCCAAUUGGUUAGUAACUAACAUACCUUACUUAUGGUCGCCAAAUUGGUUAGCAACUAUCAUGUCCUACUGGUGACCCAUCAUACAUUCCCAUCUGGUUAACAACCAACAUGCUCUACCAAUGGUCACACUUAUUU
rnacentral:lncRNA from 1 species